CGAACGAAUCCCCGGGGGCUUGCUCUCGGGGGGAAGUGGCGAAAGGGGCAGUAAGGCGUGGGUAACCUACCCCCGGGACGGGGAUAGCCAUUCUAACGAGUGGGUAAUACCCGGCGAGCUGAGCGGACCGCCUGGCCUGCUCAGGAAAGGAAUUUCGCCUGGGGAGGGGCUCACGUGGUAUUAGCUUGUUGGUGAGGUAACGGCUCACCAAGGCCAAGAUGCCUAGCUGGUGUGAGAGCAUGACCAGCGCCACUGGCACUGAGACACUGGCCAGACACCUACGGGUGGCUGCAGUCGAGGAUCUUCGGCAAUGGGCGCAAGCCUGACCGAGCGACGCCGCGUGCGCGAUGAAGGCCUUCGGGUUGUAAAGCGCUGUCGUGGAGGAGGAAGCCCCGCAAGGGGUUGACCUAUUCCAGGAGGAAGCACGGGCUAAGUUCNUGCCAGCAGCCGCGGUAAGACGAACCGUGCAAACGUUGUUCGGAAUCACUGGGCUUAAAGGGCGCGUAGGCGGCAGACCAAGUCCGGGGUGAAAUUUUUCGGCUUAACCGGAAAAGGGCCUUGGAUACUGGUUUGCUAGAGGGAGGUAGGGGUCUGUGGAACUUCUGGUGGAGCGGUGAAAUGCGUUGAUAUCAGAAGGAACGCCGGUGGCGAAAGCGACGGACUGGAUCUCUUCUGACGCUGAUGCGCG
rnacentral:rRNA from 1 species